GUGGUUUAAGUUGUUAUACUCA
rnacentral:snRNA from 1 species